UCAGGACGAACGCUGGCGGCGUGCCUAACACGAUGCAAGUCGAGCGAGGAGAUCCUUCGGGAUGAUCCUAGCGGCGGACGGGUGAGUAACACGUGGGCAACCUGCCUCAUAGAGAGGAAUAGCCUUCCGAAAGGGAGAUUAAUACCUCAUAACAUUGCAGUUUCGCAUGGAACAGCAAUUAAAGGAGCAGUCCACUAUGAGAUGGGCCCCGCGGCGCAUUAGCUAGUUGGUGAGGUAACGGCUCACCAAGGCGACGAUGCGUAGCCGACCUGAGAGGGUGAUCGGCCACAUUGGGACUGAGACACGGCCCAGACUCCUACGGGAGGCAGCAGUGGGGAAUAUUGCACAAUGGGGGAAACCCUGAUGCAAGCAACGCCGCGUGAGUGAUGACGGUCCUUCGGGUUGUAAAGCUCUGUCUUCAGGGACGAUAAUGACGGUACCUGAGGAGGAAGCCACGGCUAACUACGUGCCAGCAGCGGC
rnacentral:rRNA from 1 species